rnacentral:tmRNA from 1 species
GGGGCUGAUUUAGGAUUCGACAGGAUCAUGAAGGCUUUUGGAGCAUGUCGUGGGGCGGUUGGCCACGUAAAAAGCCGCAAAAAAAUAGUCGCAAAUGACGACAAAUUUGACUCGUACGCUCUAGCAGCGUAAUUGUAGCUUAAUAAACUACCAGUCUGCUUUUGCCCUAGCUUUCGCUUGUAAGACGGGGAACAACAAAAGUUCAAACCCAAACAAGAUAGCGACCGAAGCUUUGUCUAGAGAGCUAAAGCGCGAAAUACUAAUUCUGGAAGACUUUUAAGUAGUUUGUUUUGUAGCAGCUUAAAAGUUAAAUAUACAAAACUAAGCAUGUAGCGCCAUUUGUUUUAGUGUUUUUGGACGCGGGUUCAAAUCCCGCCAGCUCCACCA